rnacentral:rRNA from 1 species
UACGUAGGUGGCAAGCGUUGUCCGGAUUUAUUGGGCUUAAAGGGUGCGUAGGCGGUCAUAUAAGUCAGCGGUGAAAUCCGGCAGCUCAACUGUCGAUGUGCCAUUGAUACUGUAUGACUUGAGUACUGAUGAGGUAGGCGGAAUUGAGGGUGUAGCGGUGAAAUGCUUAGAUAUCGGGAAGAACACCGAUGGCGAAGGCAGCUUACUGAGCAGUAACUGACGCUGAGGCGCGAAAGUGUGGGGAUCAAACAGG